GAUGAACGCUGGCGGCGUGCCUAAUACAUGCAAGUCGAACGGGGAGUAGCAAUACUCUUAGUGGCGAACGGGUGAGUAACGCGUUGGUACCUGCCCCGAAGCGGGGGAUAACGGACCGAAAGGUCCGCUAAUACCCCAUGUGCUCGGUAACGAGUAAAGGUGAAAACCACUUUGGGAGGGGCCUGCGUCCCAUCAGCUAGUUGGUAAGGUAACGGCUUACCAAGGCGAUGACGGGUAGGGGACCUGAGAGGGUGGCCCCCCACAAUGGAACUGAAACACGGUCCAUACACCUACGGGUGGCAGCAGUAGGGAAUAUUGGUAAUGGGCGCAAGCCUGAACCAGCAACGCCGCGUGUGCGAUGACGGCCUUCGGGUUGUAAAGCACUUUUGACUGGGACGAGGAAGGACGGUACCGAUCGAAUCAGCCUCGGCUAACUACGUG
rnacentral:rRNA from 1 species